ACUCCCUUAAGUCAACAAAUCACCAUCAGACAAUACUUUCACAAAAUACUCCACGUGUUGUGUACUUUAACUAAACCUUAGAAUAGCUACUGAGCAAAGCAAAGAUGCACUUAAACUAGACCUCUUACCUUGCAAGGGUUCUGAAUUAGCCCGCACUAGAACAAGAGAGAUGUCCAACAGAGAGACUAGCCAUACCAUGGAAACGGCCAAUUUUGUGCUUGCUGAGAUUAGGCCCUGAUUUGUGCCACGAUAAAACAAAUGAAAAACAAGUGCUUACGAAGAUAGAUGGCUUAGAUAUGGUAUUAGCCUAAGGCGAGAGGACAAGACGAAAGGACAAGACGAACAGUUUAUUGAUGUACUUAGUACACGAGAAUGCAGUUUAUCGUCAUACAACUUUUAAGUAAUAUGCUAACGAGCCCAGCUUAUCUUGUCGGUAAUUUUUCAUUCAGAGUUGCUAGCCGUAUAGACUACAAGUGAACAAUCGUACUCACUCGAGGGCAGUCGCCAGUAUGUCUUACACGUUGGAGCCCCCAUAAACACUCUGCUGAUCGGCUCUGAUAUCUUUAUUAAUAUGUAAGUGUAGACGUUUAUUGUUUGUUAAUGAGGUGCUAAAAAACCAUGCUCUUUUAACCUAAUUAAAGCAGAUUUGGAGAUCUUAUUAGAAUCAAUUUUCAAUCAGACAUGAGAAGUUUAAAUAAAAGUUAUGUACGAGCGGUGUGAUAUUCACUAUGUAAUCUGUUGAUCAAAAAAUCCACCAACUACGACGUGUGCAAUAUCCUGUCUGGCCUAGAACGAAACUAAAAAGACUUUGAACUAAUUUAUUAGUCUUAGCUUUACUCAAAUCGUACAUAUUGUUAGAGAAAUACUGUACAUUUUUUUGUACGUUGAAAAAUAAAAGCGUUCUAUUGUGCGUGUAA